rnacentral:rRNA from 1 species
AUUGAACGCUGGCGGCAGGCCUAACACAUGCAAGUCGAGCGAGCGGCGGACGGGUGCGUAAUGUAUGGGGACUGCCCGUUAGAGGGGGAUAACUACUGGAAACGGUAGCUAAUACCGCACACUAUCGGCUUACGCAUGUGGGAUUGGCUAGUAGGGGGGGUAAUUGCUAACCUAGGCGACGAUCCCUACCUGGUCUGAGAGGAUGAUCAGCCACACUGGGACUGAGACACGGCCCAGACGCCUACGGAGGCAGCAGUGGGGAAUAUUGCACAAUGGGCGCAAGCCUGAUGCAGCCAUGCCGCGUGUAUGAAGAAGGCCCUAGGGUUGUAAAGUACUUUCAGUCGGGAGGCGUUACCGACAGAAGAAGCACCGGCUAACUCCGUGCCAGCAGCCGCGGUAAUUC